AGUGAACGCUGGCGGUAGGCCUAACACAUGCAAGUCGAACGGCAGCACAGUAAGAGCUUGCUCUUACGGGUGGCGAGUGGCGGACGGGUGAGGAAUACAUCGGAAUCUACUUUUUCGUGGGGGAUAACGUAGGGAAACUUACGCUAAUACCGCAUACGACCUACGGGUGAAAGCAGGGGAUCUUCGGACCUUGCGCGAUUGAAUGAGCCAAUGUCGGAUUAGCUAGUUGGCGGGGUAAAGGCCCACCAAGGCGACGAUCCGUAGCUGGUCUGAGAGGAUGAUCAGCCACACUGGAACUGAGACACGGUCCAGACUCCUACGGGAGGCAGCAGUGGGGAAUAUUGGACAAAGGGCGCAAGCCUGAUCCAGCCAUACCGCGUGGGUGAAGAAGGCCUUCGGGUUGUAAAGCCCUUUUGCUGGGAAAGAAAAGCAGCAGGUUAAUACCCCGCUGUUCUGACGGUACCCAAAGAAUAAGCACCGGCUAACUUCGUG
rnacentral:rRNA from 1 species